UACGAAGGGUGCAAGCGUUACUCGGAAUUACUGGGCGUAAAGCGUGCGUAGGUGGUUCGUUAAGUCUGAUGUGAAAGCCCUGGGCUCAACCUGGGAAUGGCAUUGGAUACUGGCGACCUAGAGUGCGGUAGAGGGGUGUGGAAUUCCCGGUGUAGCAGUGAAAUGCGUAGAUAUCGGGAGGAACAUCUGUGGCGAAGGCGACACCCUGGACCAGUACCGACGUUCAGGCACGAAAGCGUGGGGAGCAAACAGG
rnacentral:rRNA from 1 species